AACCUCCUGGGAUCGCGUCUGGAGAGUGGCUAGUAUUCUGCCAGCUUCGGAAACAGGAGGUAAAGUAAGCCUGGCAGAGGCACCCAUUCCAUUCCUAGCUUGCUCAGUAGCUAGCGACUGGAAGACACUCUGCAACAGUG
ensembl:snoRNA